GACGAGGGGUCCUAGCGUUGCUCGGAAUCAUUGGGCGUAAAGCGGGUGUAGGCGGCUUCGUAAGUCAGUUGUUAAAGCCCCAAGUUCAACUUGGGAAGUGCUUCUGAUACUGUGAGGCUGGAGUAUUGGAGAGGGUAGUAGAAUUCCUGGUGUAGUGGUGAAAUACGUAGAUAUCGGGAGGACCACCAGUGGCGAAGGCGACUUCCUGGCCUGUUCUUGACGCUGCGGCGCGAAAGCUAGGGUAGCAAACGGG
rnacentral:rRNA from 1 species